rnacentral:rRNA from 1 species
UACGGAGGGUGCAAGCGUUAUCCGGAUUCACUGGGUUUAAAGGGUGCGUAGGUGGCGCCGUAAGUCAGGUGUGAAAUCCCGGGGCUCAACCCCGGAACUGCACUUGAUACUGCGGUGCUCGAGUACUGGAGAGGAGAUUGGAAUUUACGGUGUAGCAGUGAAAUGCGUAGAUAUCGUAAGGAAGACCAGUGGCGAAGGCGAAUCUCUGGACAGUUACUGACACUGAGGCACGAAGGCCAGGGGAGCAAACGGG